GGUGGGUUGUCCGAGUGGUUAAGGAGUGUGACUUAAGCAUUGGAAAUCAACAUGUUGUCUUCACAUGGACGUAAGUCUUCGCGCGUUCGAACCGCGCACCCACCA
rnacentral:tRNA from 1 species